AACGAACGCUGGCGGCAUGCCUAACACAUGCAAGUCGAACGAGACCUUCGGGUCUAGUGGCGCACGGGUGCGUAACGCGUGGGAACCUGCCCUUAGGUUCGGAAUAACUCCACGAAAGGGGUGCUAAUACCGGAUAAUGUCUUCGGACCAAAGAUUUAUCGCCUUUGGAUGGGCCCGCGUUAGAUUAGCUAGUUGGUAGGGUAAAAGCCUACCAAGGCGACGAUCCAUAGCUGGUCUGAGAGGAUGAUCAGCCACACUGGGACUGAGACACGGCCCAGACUCCUACGGGAGGCAGCAGUGGGGAAUAUUGGACAAUGGGCGAAAGCCUGAUCCAGCAAUGCCGCGUGAGUGAUGAAGGCCUUAGGGUUGUAAAGCUCUUUUACCCGGGAUGAUAAUGACAGUACCGGGAGAAUAAGCUCCGGCUAACUCCGUG
rnacentral:rRNA from 1 species